rnacentral:rRNA from 1 species
UACGAAGGGUGCAAGCGUUACUCGGAAUUACUGGGCGUAAAGCGUGCGCAGGCGGUGAUGUAAGACAGGUGUGAAAUCCCCGGGCUUAACCUGGGAACUGCAUUUGUGACUGCAUCGCUGGAGUGCGGCAGAGGGGGAUGGAAUUCCGCGUGUAGCAGUGAAAUGCGUAGAGAUGUGGAGGAACACCGAUGGCGAAGGCAGCCUCCUGGGCCAGCACUGACGCUCAUGCACGAAAGCGUGGGGAGCAAACAGG